CGAGGGCUUAGUGCGGAAAUGGUAACUGGGAACUGCAGAAACAAAACCAUAGGGACUUGUGGGUAAAUCUGGCUGUGGACAUACAAAUGGGGCAUGAAUAAAAAUGAAUAGAUGACAGAAGUGAGUAGUACUCAUUUUCUAGUACUUUUGUAACAGCAUACUUUCACUCCUACAUGAGCAAUAUAUUGUGCAGUGUAACAAUUACUUGAGUAAACGUUGUGGUUCCUCUUCCCACUGUGAGUAAGUCAACAAAUGACAAAAGCUUUAUGUUGACAAUAUGAAAUGAAUGUGUGUUUCUUGCAGCGCCCCUUCAAAUAUGACUUAAAUUUUUGGGUCUAUCCUUUGAAAACACCAGAUGUUGUGCAUUAAUAUUUCAGACUAUGGUGACGAUAGAGUGGAAGCUGGACACGUUGCUCAGUCCACUGCAGGACAAGCAUAGCUGGUGUGUGGUGAGGCAUUAGGAGCAUGUUAGGUAUCCCUGCAUGUUUGUUUAUGUAUCAGACUUUUAUGACUGUUUAGAGGCUCUUGGGACACAAGACCUGGAAUGUUCUGCAGAAGAAAUGAAAGACACAUCCAAACAAUUAGGUCGAUAUAUUUAAUGCUCUAAUAAAAUAAUACACCUUUAUAGAAACACGAUGCAGAUUCGCACGGCGAACCCCGUCAGAUACAAGCCUCAGCAACAACCCCUGUUGCCCUGGGCAACUACAGCAGCAACCCUGUCACCCAGGGCAACUACAGUCGCCACCCCGUUGCCCGGAGCAACCGUGUCACCCAGGGCAUCUAGCGCAGCCACCCUAUUGCCCGGAACAACUACAGCAGCCACCCUGUCGUCCCGGGCAACUACAGCAGCAGCCCCGUUGCCGAGGGCAACUACAGUUGCCACCCCCGUGCUCAGAGCAACCACAGAAGCAAUGCCGUUGCCUAGAGCAACUAUAGCAACACCCUACCCUAUCGCCCAAGGCAACUGCAGCAGAAACCCUUUGGCCCAGAGCAGCUGCAGUAGAUGCCUCAUAGCCCAGGACAACUGUAGCAGCAACUCCAUCACCCUGAGCAACUGCAGCUCCACAGUCCGUCAGGUUCUCCUCAGUUUCUGAGUGAGGAGGCACAGCACCAGGAAGCAGAAGCUUUUUAUACAUUGCAGUUUGAUUGGUGCAAGCUACAUUGCUAAAAUAACACUUACAGGAGUUAAAAUAACUUAAAUUAAUCCCAUUUUAAGUAGUUUUGACUAGUUCUAUUUACUUUACUUGUUUUAAGAUAUUGCUGGCUGGUGUCAUUAUACUACAUCUUUCCACUUGGAAUAACAAGAGAAUAUUGUUCCUUUGGCACAAAAAAAAAUAAAAAAAAAUCUACCAUGCCAAAAUCCUGAAUCCAUUCACUCGUCUCAACUCUUCGAAUCCAGAGAAAUCGUGAAUCCAAGUCAUUCCAACUCCUGUAGAUAUUUUGCAGUGUAGUAUCUGUACAUGAAAACAACAGUAGAAAAAUAAAACCAGCAGUUAUGGGAGAACAUGGAUGAUUGUCCAGAUACUUUUAAAAUCUGUCCACAGCUCCAGGCGCAUGCGCUGUCCUCCAUAAGUGCUCUCCAUCAGGAACAUGCAAACAUCUCCCCAACAUUCAAAUACAUCCAGUCUGCAGAACUAUCCACACUGUUAAAAGAGAUUAAAAUAUGCACAUGAGACGUCCAGGAAAAAUAAAAAUCCAUUUCCUUUCAAAUGUUCCGAAGUAAACAUGAUCGGGGAGCAGUUUUUGGUCACAUCCGACAUCCUUUAGAGCGGGUAAAGGCGAGUGGUCCGAUUCUCAGCAUAAAACACAAGUCUGAUUUUGUAAUAUCUUCACUGCAAAAUGACAUACGGAAAUGAGGUCAAAUAACUUGUAUUCAGAGUAUUAAUCUUGAUUUAAGUAGUUGUGACAAAACCAUAGACUGUAUGUAAGUGGACAUAGUUAGCCUACAGCCACAAAUAGCAUGGGAGCAGUUACAUAAUUUAAAUCAAAAUAUAAUGUCUUAUGAAUGGGGAAAGGUCCUCGCAUAGUCCUUCAAAUCAGGAAGGAAUUGUUUAUCUGAAACCCAUGAAUUGCGCCUUGUUGCUAAGCACCCACCUCCUGCCAAACCAGCGGUGUGGACCAUAGACUGUAUAUAGAAGUUGGACAGAGGGAGUAUGACAUCCCCCAUAGUGUUCGGCUCCAGUCAAAUGAAGCAGUUAGGCUUGCAGUUAUAGAGGUGAAUUUGGACCCAAGUUCCAUAUUUGGAGUUCCAAGCACGAGUAUCAUAGCAACCAAAGACCCAAUCAGGAGCGAGGUUGUUGACUGUACAUGCCCUUUUCAGAAACAUGCACUUGGAAUUCCAAAUAUGGAGCUUGGCUGCAAACUAGCUGCUAUAACGGCCCGCUUCGACUGGCUUGGAAGAGUAUGGCGUCCCUUAGUCCACUUCUAUAUAAAGUCUGUGGUUCAAAGUUAAAUCUGCAUGAUGUAAUAAUAAUUUUUAUUUCCCAGCAUAAGAGUUCGGCUUAAAACAAGAACAUGUAGCCAACUGUAUGGUGAGAUAAUUUCACUUUUUUGUAUAUACACAGUGAAAGAAAUAAAAUAAAACUAGACCUAAUUUGAAAAUAAAUAAUAAUCUAAUAUUCUGAAUGCAAGUGAUUUGAGCUUGAGUACAGAUGUGUAUUUUGCAUUGUUGAGCGUGCCGCCUCUCCCUUGUCAGUCUGGAGUUACAUUAUGAUACAUCCACAGAGCAGAAGAGGAGACAGAGCCAGUCCUGAGGCACUUCACUGUUCAAGUCUAGAGAGCAGGUCCAAAGUCCAGCUCCAAAGUCCAGCUCCAAAGUCCAGGUCAGGCCAGGAGGAGAUGUCUGGAGAUUAGGAGAGUGUAGACAGUCGUGUUGAUCAAUGUUCUACCACAGAGGAACGGAUAGAGAUCU
ensembl:lncRNA